AUUGAACGCUGGCGGCAUGCUUUACACAUGCAAGUCGAACGGUAACAGGGUGCUUGCACCGCUGACGAGUGGCGAACGGGUGAGUAAUGCGUCGGAACGUGCCGAGUAGUGGGGGAUAACGCAGCGAAAGUUGUGCUAAUACCGCAUACGUACUGAGGUAGAAAGUGGGGGACCUUCGGGCCUCACGCUAUUCGAGCGGCCGACGUCUGAUUAGCUAGUAGGUGAGGUAAAGGCUCACCUAGGCGACGAUCAGUAGCGGGUCUGAGAGGAUGAUCCGCCACACUGGGACUGAGACACGGCCCAGACUCCUACGGGAGGCAGCAGUGGGGAAUUUUGGACAAUGGGCGCAAGCCUGAUCCAGCCAUGCCGCGUGCAGGAUGAAGGCCUUCGGGUUGUAAACUGCUUUUGUACGGAACGAAAAGGUUUGGCUUGAUACGUUGAACUCAUGACGGUACCGUAAGAAUAAGCACCGGCUAACUACGUGCCAGCCGCCGCGGUAA
rnacentral:rRNA from 1 species